AACGUAGGAGACGAACGUUAUCCGGAGUUACUGGGCGUGAAGGGCGUGCAGGCGGUCUGAUAAGUUCGGCGUGAAAUAUUCCGGCUUAACCGGGAUAGGUCGUCGGAGACUGUCGGACUAGAGGGUGAUAGAGGCGUGUGGAAUUCCGGGUGUAGUGGUGAAAUGCGUAGAGAUCCGGAGGAACACCAGUGGCGAAGGCGACACGCUGGGUCACACCUGACGCUAAAGCGCGACAGCAUGGGGAGCGAACGGG
rnacentral:rRNA from 1 species